UACGUAGGCGGCAAGCGUUAUCCGGAAUUAUUGGGCGUAAAGCGCGCGCAGGCGGUUUCUUAAGUCUGAUGUGAAAGCCCACGGCUCGACCGUGGAGGGUCAUUGGAAACUGGGGAACUUGAGUGCAGAAGAGAAAAGCGGAAUUCCACGUGUAGCGGUGAAAUGCGUAGAGAUGUGGAGGAACACCAGUGGCGAAGGCGGCUUUUUGGUCUGUAACUGACGCUGAGGCGCGAAAGCGUGGGGAGCAAACAGG
rnacentral:rRNA from 1 species